UACGUAGGGUGCGAGCGUUGUCCGGAAUUAUUGGGCGUAAAGAGCUCGUAGGCGGUGUGUCGCGUCGGCCGUGAAAACCUGGGGCUUAACUCUGGGCGUGCGGUCGAUACGGGGCAUCACUAGAGUUCGGCAGGGGAGACUGGAAUUCCUGGUGUAGCGGUGAAAUGCGCAGAUAUCAGGAGGAACACCGGUGGCGAAGGCGGGGUCUCUGGGCCGAUACUGACGCUGGAGGAGCG
rnacentral:rRNA from 1 species